rnacentral:misc_RNA from 1 species
AUUGGCGUGUACGGGCAUGUCGGAUCCCUGCAUGGGCAGCGACGGCGUGGCCUUCUCGCCUCUUCAGUUGGUGGCCCAAGUGCGUCGUAGCCUUGGCCGUUCUCGGUUUCCUGCGUUGCAUACCUGUCAAGAGGGCAUUCAGUCGGCUAAAACGUCCCAUUUCCGCCUUGCUCCGUGCCUCUUGGGCUGCGGUGCGGGGUGGACCUCGAAGCACCCGCCGUGUUCCACUUCCCGUGCGUUAACAACGCCUUCGGGUUGUCGGCCCACGGUUUGUUGCUCGAUCUCUCGGAUGCGGAAAAUUUAGCGGGCACGAGGCCGCCGGUCUCUAUUUGCCCCGAAACAAAGCGUUCUACGCUUCGUUCGAACGACGACCGUUGCUGCUUUGGUCGAGUCCUCGGGCUGGGCUCAUGCGGCAUCGGCGUCGGCGAGGAAUGCUACCUGGUUGAUCCUGCCAG